GACGAACGCUGGCGGCGUGCUUAACACAUGCAAGUCGUACGGUAAGGCCCUUUCGGGGGUCCACGAGUGGCGAACGGGUGAGUAACACGUGAGUAACCUGCCCACAACUUUGGGAUAACGCUAGGAAACUGGUGCUAAUACUGGAUAUGUGCUCCUGCUGCAUGGUGGGGGUUGGAAAGCUCCGGCGGUUGUGGAUGGACUCGCGGCCUAUCAGCUUGUUGGUGGGGUAGUGGCCUACCAAGGCGGCGACGGGUAGCCGGCCUGAGAGUGUGACCGGCCACAGUGGGACUGAGAUACGGCCCAGACUCCGACGGGAGGCAGCAGUGGGGAAUAGUGCACAAUGGGCGCAAGCCUGAUGCAGCAACGCCGCGUGCGGGAUGACGGCCUUCGGGUUGUAAACCGCUUUCAGCAGGGACGAAACUUUUUGUGACGGUACCUGCAGAAGAAGCACCGGCUAACUACGUG
rnacentral:rRNA from 1 species